CAGCAGUCGCCGCGGGAAUACGUAGGGUGCAAGCGUUAAUCGGAAUUACUGGGCGUAAAGCGUGCGCAGGCGGUUAUUCAAGACAGAUGUGGAAUCCCCGGGCUCAACCUGGGAACUGCAUUUGUGACUGGAUGACUAGAGUACGGCAGAGGGGGAUGGAAUUCCGCGUGUAGCAGUGAAAUGCGUAGAUAUGCGGAGGAACACCGAUGGCGAAGGCAAUCCCCUGGGCCUGUACUGACGCUCAUGCACGAAAGCGUGGGGAGCAAACAGGAUUAGAUACCCCCGUAGUCCCUGUCUCUUAUAC
rnacentral:rRNA from 1 species